rnacentral:rRNA from 1 species
AUGCAAGACGUGCUUUUAUUUAUCGAUAAUAUCUUUCGUUUUGUUCAAGAAGGAUCAGAGGUAUCCGCUUUAUUAGGGAGAAUGCCCUCCGCAGUGGGUUAUCAACCUACUCUUAGUACAGAAAUAGGUACUUUGCAAGAAAGAAUUGCUUCUACUAGAAAGGGAUCUAUAACUUCAAUUCAAGCAGUUUAUGUACCUGCAGACGAUUUGACCGACCCUGCCCCUGCCACAACAUUUGCACAUUUGGAUGCUAGUACCAUACUUUCCAGAGGAUUAGCUUCCAAGGCCUCGGAUCGUUGGCAACGAACAUUAUGA